CGCGACCGCGACAGGGCUCGACGGGACGCCACGGGCCGCACGACGGCCGGCCGGACGGAGGCACGGCCGGCGCGAGGCCUCAGCAAAAUUUAAACUCCCUGCUCUCUGGUGCCAGCUGUAGCUCCUGCGUCAUGGACCGAUAACUAUAAGGAACUCAGAAAUCAUCUACUUCCAACCCCCUCGUUUUACAGAUAAAGGAACUGAGGCCAAGAGGCCUGACUUGAGGCCCAGCUUGGGCAAGGCAAGACAGGUGGAAGAUCCAGGAUCUGACUGCUGCCUCCAAAUCUAGAACUCUUUCUAUGGUACCGCCUUAGGAUCCUCUAACCAGCCUGGCCCACUCUUUGCACCCCAGAACAUGCGUUGAGGUGUUUAUAAUCUACUUUGCGCCUUGUAUUCCCUAUGCCUGAGGUAUUUUUUCCUCUUAAUUCCUGUGUGCCUCUUUAAAGCCCUUCUCAGAGGCCACGUCUUUCAGUAAGCCUUUUUUGAUCUUCUCUGGUUGUUAAAGAUUCUGCUGUCCCCACAGCUUUGGAUUUAACUUUGCCUUUAAUUUUGCAAUUCUGUGACACAUGUAACUGUGAUGUAUUAAUGUUAAAUUAUUAAAAUGUUAAAUGACACUUG